UACGAAGGGGGCUAGCGUUGCUCGGAAUCACUGGGCGUAAAGCGCACGUAGGCGGAUUGCUAAGUCAGGGGUGAAAUCCUGGAGCUCAACUCCAGAACUGCCUUUGAUACUGGUGAUCUUGAGUCCGGGAGAGGUGAGUGGAACUGCGAGUGUAGAGGUGAAAUUCGCAGAUAUCAGGAGGAACACCGAUGGCGAAGGCAGGUCUCUGGGCAUUAACUGACGCUGAGGAGCGAAAGCAUGGGGAGCGAACAGG
rnacentral:rRNA from 1 species